rnacentral:rRNA from 1 species
UACGUAGGGUGCAAGCGUUGUCCGGAUUUAUUGGGCGUAAAGAGCGUGUAGGCGGCCAGGUAGGUCCGCUGUGAAAACUCGAGGCUCAACCUCGAGAUGUCGGCGGAAACCAUCUGGCUAGAGUCCGGAAGAGGAGAGUGGAAUUCCUGGUGUAGCGGUGAAAUGCGCAGAUAUCAGGAAGAACACCCGUGGCGAAGGCGGCUCUCUGGGACGGUACUGACGCUGAGACGCGAAAGCGUGGGGAGCGAACAGG